rnacentral:tRNA from 1 species
UAUUUAGUGACUGAUAAAAGUAUUAGUCUUUUAAACUAAACCAUGGAUUUAAAUCCCUAAAUAA